rnacentral:lncRNA from 1 species
GGGGCAUGGGGCACGCCGGAGUGAUUGAACCCCACACACCCAGGGAGAUUCCCAUUCAGGCCUUACACCAUCUCCUCACCGUUCACCCCCAGCUGGGCUGAGGACCCAAAGAUGCCCACGCUGUGAAAUAUGGGGGCAACUUGGAGCCCCCUCUCCUGAUUUCCUCCUCCUUCUCUUCUUCCUUAGUCUUUAUUUUCUUUGUUUUUAAUUCCAGGUCUCUGGGGCCCUGAGCCACGAGGGUUCCUCGGAUCUCAGUCCCAUAAUCAGCACAUUGGGUUGGGCUCAUCCCUCUGGGCCCGUGUGCCGUCUGGGCCCCCCCACAUGCAUCUCACUCACCGCUGGGCCCCCCCAUGCCCGCAGCCGGCUCCGCACACACAGAGAAGGGCACAGGGGGGCAUUCCUGGAAGGCGCGCCUGAUGGAGUCCACAAAUGGGCCGAGUGAUACCACCAGGCUGGCAAGAUUCGCCAUGCCUCGUUUCCCUGCCAGCUCAGUGUGGACGCGGCCAGGCCCCGCCGCCUCCGUCCCACCCGCCCGGCCCGUGGCUAGGAGGCCUCAUCCCCAUGUCGCAGCUGGGGGAGCUGGAGAGCAUCUGUGCUGGGCUUGAGUGCCCUUGGCAGGGUGGAGAUUUCUCCCUCUCGGCCUCUUAUUACCCACAGACGCAGCAUCUGGACGGCUUCGUUGGAAGGGGUCCCAGGGGGCCUGUGGUCUGACCCUCCUCCCCAUCCGCUGCAGCCCUGGCUCCACUCUGGGGCCGUGAUCUCUCCCUACCCACCCCUGCAGGGUCCUGAGCAUCUCCAGAACAGCGGGGGUGGGGUGGGAGGGCUGGGUCACCCCUUGGCCCCAGGACACUCUCCGGAAACGUGUUCUGCGGAGACAAGAGGUGUGGGGGUGGUUUGUGUCUGAGUUUAAACUGUGCUUGGCCCUGGGGGAAGGUUCUGGACAACUGGGAAGCAGCAUACCUCCCCCAUCCCCACCCAGGCUCGCUCAGAAGGAAGGAGGGGAAAAGAGGCGACAGGGCGGAGGGCCUGGGGGCCGUGCGCACCUCCGGGCGGCGCCUGCCUCGGGGGACCGAGGAGGGCAGAGGGCUGUCCCUCCCCAGUUCCAAGCAGGGAUUCUGCCCGCCUCUGCUUGCAAUUCCUGCACAAGCCCCUCCCUGCUCGGCACCCCAUCCCAUCACCAUAGCAACCCAUUCUGCGAUGGGCACCGUUGGGGGAGGCAGGAGAGCCCAGAGAGAGGACCUUUGUCCCCCUUUUUUCAUAUUUUGUUGUCCUGGGGACGACUCAUCCAGGAACAGUAUCGUUUUCUGGGACAUUCUGCUCCCCUCCGCCCUCCAGACGCUCCAGAGCUGGAAAAGCCCACGAUGCAGGAAGCUCCUCUCGGGACCUCAGCAACAGAACCUGGCCUGCCCGGGGCCCAGCGUCCAGACACCGGGUCAUGUGACUGUUCGCAGCACCCCAAUUCCAUCUAGCUGUGUCCGAGGCAGAGACGCGAGGGGCCACGAGGUGUCACUGGGGAGUGACUGUGCCGCCCCGAAGAGCCCUAGGGGGACUCAGGGUGCUGUUCAGAGGAGUAAGUGAAGAAAGACACAGGGGAUUGUCAUGAGUCCCCAAGGCCCUGGUCUUCCUUGGAGCAGGGCUCCCGCCUUCCUCAGUGCCCCCCAGAGCAGCCCCCUCGUAGGGCUCCCCAGCAA